CUACGGGAUGCUCCAGUGAGGAAUAUUGCACAAUGGGGGAAACCCUGAUGCAGCAACGCCGCGUGGAGGAUGACGCAUUUCGGUGUGUAAACUCCUUUUAUGAGUCAAGAAAAUGACGGUAGCUCAUGAAUAAGCACCGGCUAACUCCGUGCCAGCAGCCGCGGUAAUACGGAGGGUGCAAGCGUUACUCGGAAUCACUGGGCGUAAAGGACGCGUAGGCGGGUUGUCAAGUCAGGUGUGAAAUCCUACAGCUUAACUGUAGAACUGCACUUGAAACUGGCAACCUAGAGUAUGGGAGGGGGAGAUGGAAUUAGUGGUGUAGGGGUAAAAUCCGUAGAUAUCACUAGGAAUACCGAAAGCGAAGGCGAUCUCCUGGAACAUUACUGACGCUAAGGCGUGAAAGCGUGGGGAGCAAACAGGAUUAGAUACCCGCGUAGUC
rnacentral:rRNA from 1 species